rnacentral:lncRNA from 1 species
UGUCAUAGAAGCUGUUCUCCAAGGUUCAUAACUAUCAGGCUUUACUGUAGGUUAGGCAGCUAAGCUUCGAAAUAGGAGGGAGAGAUGUCUUCUAAAUGCAUCACUUUUUUUCUAAACUUGUGAAAUUGGGAGACAUGAAAGUAUUAAAUCUGUUUGAAUAAUAAUUCCUGUCAUUUAUUAACUUCUGCCCUUGGUGACUCAUCCUCAGGUUGUACAAGAUACAUAUGAUACGUCAGCCCCUCUCUCUCCAGGCUGUUUUAUUUCUUUGUAGUGAAGGCUUGCAGUUACGCAUCUUAAAAUGUUUACAAUUUCUCUAAAUAACUGAGACUGUCUAAAGACGAGAAGAAGAUGAAAGGUUCUAAAUAUGUUCUGGGUUCUCUUGGCAAAGACGAGUCCUAGUUCUGGAGCCAGACAGCCUGGAUGUCUUGACUUGGCCGCUCCCAGGUCUGUGUCCUCUGGCGAUUUUCCAACAUUGUUGACUCUUGUGUUCCUAUCUGUAAGAUGAAGAACUGGAAUGAUGAGUCAUUGGUAUAAUAUACAUAAAGUACUCAGCCCAGUGCCUGAGACACAGUAACUGUCCAAUAAAUGUUACCAAUUGCAUUAUAAUCAGUGAUAUAAUGCUGAUGAUAAUAAAAUAUAUAUAUAUAGAAUUACUUGAGGUAAAUGAAAAAAUGCCUGAGCCCAACUCCAGUCCAAUUAAAUAGGAUUUAGUCUAAUAUGCAGUUGAUAUAGAGGUUAUCAACUAUUUACCUGCUGGAAGAUAGUUAAUUUCAGCGUAUUUUAUAGGACUGGCUUCCCCCCUCCCUCAACACCCUACAUUUUAUGUCUACCUGAAACCUCAGAAGUUGACCUUUGGAAAUAGGGUCUUUGUAGAUGUAAUGAGUUAAGAUGAAAUCAUGCUGUAUCAGAGCGGGCCCUAGUCCAAUGACAGGUAUCCUUUGAAGAAGAGAAAACAGAGACACAGCCACAUACCAGAAAAAAGGCCAUAUGAAGCCAGAGACAGAGAUUGGGGUGAUGCAUCUACCAGCCAAAGAGUGCCAAGGACUGGCAGCAGUGCUGGAGCCAGGAGAGGGGCAUGGAACAGACCCUCUCCUAGAGCCCAAGAGACAGCAUGGUUCUGUGCACAUCUUGACUUUGGACUUCUGGCCUCCAGAACCAGGAGCGAAUCAAUUUCUAUUUUCUGAAACCACCCAGUUUCUGGUAUAUUGUUUCAUCAGCCCUAGGAAAUGAAUACUCCUAUCAGUUUCACAUAAAACAAAGAUUAAUAAAACAACAAGGAAGAUAGCUCUCUCUUCUGCAUUCUCACUCCUUGGAAUUCAGGGAUGAGCUUUGUGCUGAGUCCUGGUCCACACAGCUGCAUCUCCCUGGUGGCUCACUCAUCUCAUUCCCCAGUUGCAGCCCCCUGGAGAGAGUGUACAUCUUUUUCCCACCUCUCAGGUGUCAGCCUGGACCCGCAAGAUACUGGCUUCCCAAGCAGAGAGGACCCGACAACCUAGCCAUGAUGGGACUGUCUCUCAGGACAGACUCUGACCAGUAAAAGAUGGAGCACAGGAGAAGAGGGAGCCCAACCCCCUCCAUGGCUGUUCUGAGACACAGAUAUUCCACUAGACUUUGCAGAGCUCCCUGGGGAAUGAGGCCAGUGCCUUGGCUGUGGAGUUGUGGCUGGCUUGGGGUUCCUCGCUCUGAAUUGCUCUCCCUCCUUCCUGCCGCUCUUGCUUUCCCCCCUCUUCCUUCCCUAGGAUGGCAGCCCUUGAUCAAGAAUUAAUAUAUAAGCUUUUGCCCCAGGCUCCGAUUUUUAGGCCACUCAGGCUAAGGAGUGCUUAACAAGUGGAUCAUAGCCAUCUGAAUAGGGCUACUCUAUUUUAAAUUCAUGCCUCCCCAUUUUGGAGGAGUCUGUUUAAAAAAGUAUACAUUAUAAGUGGUGAUUAAUUAGUUCUAAGUAAGUUAAUCAAAGGCACAAAUACUUGGCAAGCAUAGCUACUGUUUUUCAUGAACUAAACAUCUUGAGUCACUGCAUUGAUUUAAUGCAAUUCCAUCCAAAAGGAUGAGACCCACACAGAAUCCCACCCAAGGCCAACCACGUUAGACUUCACUAUACAGACUCUGCCCCAUCCCUGCUGGAGCCAGUGCUGACCAGGUUCAACACAGUCUCCAAGGCUGUCAGCCCAACCAGCAGGUCCUGCUGCCUGGAUGGGUUUUGUUGCUCUCAGCCCUGCAGCCAUAAACCUGGCACUACCAGGGUUUCCCUUCCACUAAGAGAGAAGAGUGCUAAGCCGGGGCAUGAGUUAAGAGCUGAAAUUGCAGCCUCGCUCUGACCAUCUGGGUGUAGUAUCAUCAACACUGGGAGUACAAAUGGUCAAGAAGGGACCAAUCUCUGACCUGCUCUACCAGUGGGCUAGGAGGAGAGACGUGUCACAGAGUCAAGUGGACAUGCCACGCUGCACAUCAGGGCACAGUGACAGUUGCCUGACACCCCUUACUUGCUCCAGUGGCAGUGGCAGGACUGAAUUUUGGAGAAUUACCCUCCCCACUGUGAACAAGAACAGAACCCUGUCAGUUAAGGUGCUUGGCCAUCCUUUGCCGUGGCCUCCCACAUGGCCACGUUGGAUUAUUCCAAGGACUGGCUGACAGAAUUGAUGUUCUCCUGCUUGGCACUUGGUAGACUCUCCAUAAACACUCGUUCAUUGAUUGGAUCAGUCAGUUGGAUAUUCCAAGGAACUGGCACAAGACUGAUAUUAAAUACAAGACAAAAAAAUGGCUCAUGAUUAAGGGCCAAUUCUAUGGAAAAAUCAGGUCACACAACUUUUUAAUCAAGUGAGAUGAUCAGCCUUCUAUACGAGAUAUUUCAUCAUCAUGUCAUCUGACCGUGAGUGUUCUGGAAAGAUGACUAAAUUGGAUGCUCUAGCCAGUGACUAUCUAAUACAUUCACCUCUUUGGGAGCCCAAGAGGGGAGUCUUCCCCUUGGCUUCUCUCCUUGGUUUGGGGGUAACUGACAGCCAGUGCCCUGCAGCUCCAGUUGUCUGGAUUAUUGCAUUUCCUAACACUGGUCUCGUACCUGCCCAAGCAGGCCAUGACUUAGCAGCUGAUGCACAAUGCAGCUUUGGGGUAAUUCUUUCUCUGUUCCUUUACUCUCUAAUAAAGAACCACAAUCAGGUAACAUCUCUAUUUUCAUCAUACUUAUUCUUGUUGCAGAUAAUUGCUGUUAGCUUCUUAAGCUGAUUCCUGUAAAGUUUAUUUGUAAGAAAAUAAAAAUAGUGAAUAAGGUGGUGUAUAGAACAGUCCCAAAGGGAAAAAUGACUAAAUUCAGAAGCACAAUGUAGACAGGCAACUUAAUGGGGACUGGACUCACAAUAAGAGGCAUUUCUAUGAGCAUUUUAUAGAAAUAUUUUUUAUCAUAAAAUAAGCAAUUAAAGUAGAGAUUGAGAAACAUACAGCAACUUAGUAAAUCAUUAUUUUCAAAAGGAGAGCUCAUGACUUAACACAGUGUUCUCAAAGUGUGGUUCCUGGUCUAGCAGCAACAGCAUCAUCUGGGAACUUACCAGAAAUGCAAAUUCUUGGGAUCCACCUCGGGCACACUGAGUCAAAAUUUCUAGGGGUGGGUCCCAGAAAUCUGUGUUUGAAUACACUUCUCCAGGGGAUUCUGAUGCACACUCACGUUUGAGAACCACAACAUAAUGUAUUGUUUGUAUUUUUUUUUCUAAUUGUACACUCUGACAUGUAUUGCUGGUCACCUUCUAGGAAGCCAAAGAAUAUGACUGCAGGCAUGGGCAUUGUAGACAAACUUAAUGCAUCUGUUUUCUAUUGCUAUAUAACAAAUUACCACCAACUUAGUGGCUUAGAAUAACACAUAUUCAUGAUCACAUGGUGCUGUAGGUCAGAAGGCUGGGGGAGGCUCAGCUCUUCUCCCUGUUAGUGUCUCCCACGCAAGGUGUCAGGGGCAGGCUGAACUCCAUCUGCAGGCUCUGGGGAGGAAUCUGCCUCCCAGCUCAUCUGGGGCAUUUACAGAAUCCCAGUCCUUGUGGCUGUGGGACUGAGACCCCCAUUUUCUUGCUGGUUGGAGGCUGGGAGUACAGAAACAAGGUCAUGCCCAUAAUAAAAGGAGUUAGAAUUCAUUUCCAGAUUAUAAUCCAGGUAAUAGACAUUAUCUCCAGGACAAGGGUGAAAUGCACAUGCUAUUCUGGGAAGAUACUAGGAGAACUAUUAACUGAGCACAUUUCUGGAUUUUUGUUUGGUUUUCUUUACUAGUUUUUACCUUGGAAAAUACUGACAGCAUUUCUGAAGAUACGAGAUCCAAAGCCUGAUGGGGCUGGCAAACAGUCAGAAAAGUCUAGGGCAGCAUUUCCUAAGGUGACGCCUAUAAACACUACUCCCAUGAGGCCUCCAAAAACAUGAGUGGAGACCAUCAUACAUUAGUAUAAUGUCUCGGAUAGCCCUUCUGAAUGCAGACAUUCCAAUACAUUGACAUUUUAAGGUUCUGACAAAUCCUGUAGCAAAGAAAUCUUUUUGCCUAAGCUGAGAUUGGGUCUACAUGUAUUUCCUUGGGAGCCCCUCUUGCUGUGCAGUAUUGGAAAUACUGCUCAUGAGUGUGGCAGUGAUAACUGUAAAGCCAGAAGCAGGCUCUGGGAGAAAAGCCGGGGGUCAGACUCCUGCUCACUUACAGGCAGUGAGAAGAGUUUGUCUUUGGCCUCCUUCCCUCUGUCCAAUGCUCCUCCCCCACCACUCUUUCUUCACUUAUUUGCUUUCCUCUGCCAACCUGAAACCUACAGAAAGCAAAGUUGGGCUGGGCCUGUUUAUGCAUCUUCCCAGGUUUUCCUGGCUCUGCAUGCCCCUGGCCUCGGCAACUUGCUAUGUGGGUGCUCGGGCAGUUGCCACCAAAGUCUGUGUCCUGACCUGUCAGCUGUCUAUCUUCCCCAGAGGUAAGAGCUGGGCCUGGGCAUGGCUGCCUUGAUGCCAUGCGCAUGAGUCACAGCAGCUGCAGUGCCAGGUUGUACCCUGCUGGAGGAGGACUCCUCCUGCAGUGCUUGGAGCAGGGAUCUGGCUGUCCUGGUGGCUGCAUGACAGUGAGGUGGCCAAGCGGCCUGGGAAGUGUGCAGUGUGACCAUCAAGAUGAGAAAUAGGAAGGAGCCAGGAGGUCCAUUCCAGAUGCAUUACUCUCUCCAUCCUCUCCACAGAUUCCAGUCCCAUAAGAGGCUCCAAAGCAACAGCAAUAAUGACACCAUGCCUUGGGGUAAGUGCUGUGCAUGCCUGCCGACCUCUGCCCUUCUUGGAGAGCAGGUGCCCUGGCUCUGCCAGCCCUUGGAAGAUGUCUGUGCUGCUGGUGGCAGCAGCUGCUCUAUGCAUGGGAUCUGGAGGGCUCUGUGGGGACCCACAUGUGUCCACUUUCCUGCCCACUCUGCCCCACUCCCCUUCCCUCACUCUGCCCGCCUGGGCCUAUACUUCCCCUUCCCACAGCAACCUAGCAGAAGCUUUGCUUCUCCAUGUGUUUUCUGAGAAAUCCAGGCUAUGAAAAGAUAUAGGGAAACUUUAUAAGAUUUUCUCAGAAUAAGGACAAAAGACUUAAAGAUAAUCUCACUCAAAGAGAUACCCUAAAAACCAAGAACUGCACUUGAAGAAUGCAAUUGGGGACAAAGUCACAAAUACCCUGCAGUGCCACAACCUUUCCUCUUCAAAUAUUUCCUUCUAUUUCCCCUUCCUUCACCUAACCAUGAAGGGGAAAGGGCAGACUUCAGAAAACAGAAAAGACAGGCUGGAAAACAGAGAGUGAGAUAUAUGGGCAGAAGUAUAAGGAGCUGGAGGCGAAAGCAAAAGCCCCAAAGGCAGCAAGACCCCAAGAGGCUCCUUCAUGUGCACAGGUGCACAGGCAGAAGGUGCCCGUGCUCAAGGUGCUCAAGGUGCACCCUGCUCUGCAGAAGGUGCAGGUGGAAAAAGCCACACCACUGACAGUCCACAUUCAUCUCCAGGGGCCUGGAUUCAAACAGUUGAGAGACACUGCUAUGCACAAUAACAAAAUAAGACAUAAGAAAUAGACCUUGGCUUCCAAUUCCUAAAGGUCACUGAGUCACAGAUUUAUGGAUUCCUCUCUCUCCCCAUUCCAAUUGAAAGGACCCAACCAAUACAUUAACACAAAUUCCAAGCCACAGAUAGAAACUAGAGAAUGGUCAUGCCCACAGACUCAAUACUUGGGGAAGUUUUGACAGAGAGCAGAGCAGGCAGGAGCCAUGUCAUCUGUCCCAGGCAAGAGAGCCUGCGAGGGAGGUAAGCAAGGAUUUAUGGAUCCAUUUUUCUGUUCCCCUUCACUAACAGCUCCUGCGUCGGCUGGAAGGCAGAGGAAGGCUGCAGGGAGGAUUCUGGGGUCCAGUUGUGCAGGAGCCCAUGGGUCCAGCUGCGCACAGUAGGGCCGAGGAAGCUUGGUCCUGGGUGCAGGUGUGUGUUGAGGGACUGGAGGCCACGGGGCAGACAGUACAGAGGUCAGAGGGGCUGAGCACCUGAAGGGAGGGCUUACCUCCUUCCCUAACUGUCUUGUUCAGCCCCAUCAAACUCUCACAAGGAAAAGUGGCCAGAGCUCCUGAACCCUUGGAUAUCUCCCCCUGAGCCCCACCAACCAGAAAAAAUACAGUAACUGGGAAGUGAAAGAAUUGAACAAGGCACUGUGUCUCCCAUGACAGAACGCAGGGCACCUGCUACACCGAACAACUCUGUCCAUCUACAGAUAUGAAGAGAAGAUGCUGGCCAGGCAGGGCAGCAGGGCUCAGCACAAUUCUUCAGAAGAGCAGAACUGGAGAAAAUGAUUCCAUGCACAACAGUACACAAGAAACAAGAAGUAACUAAAAACCUGAAUUCAUGCUUUCAGUGAGACACAAGAGUCUGCUGCAUUGACAAAAUGAGAGCAAUUAAUCAUGAAAAAGGAGCAUCCUGCAAAAAGGAAUCAUUGGAGAUGAAAAUUAUAACUGCUGAACUUAAGAACACUGGGAGGCAGGGAGCUGCCCACUGGCAGCCAGAGGAGAGUGAGCAGGACCCGGAGCGCUGGUUUGAUAAAUGCACCAGGAACCUGAGAGCAUAAGCCACAGAGGAGGAGACUGUGAGACAAGAAGAGGAGCCCAGAGAAAGCCCACUGUGCGGAGCCUGCUUUCCCUGCAUGGGAAAGAGACCCCAUGGAUAAGGAGGGCAGACUGGACACUGAAAUGUCAGAAGAGGACACCUAUUAAACUGACCUAAAGUUCUGAGUGGUUGGUGAUUGAAAGAUGGAGAAGCAAUGAAGAGACAUUCACGUGGAUACCCACAUAUGCAGGGAAAGUGCCCACACAUGUUUGGACUGGAGACAAACUACAAGAGUUGAUGUCCUUGAGGAGGGAGACUGGGACUAUCCAAAGAUGGCAUGAGUCCCCCACACAUGCUCUUUCAAAACUUUGCCCCACCUUCAUCAGGAAAUGGCAUCUAAUUCCCUUUCCCUUGAAUCCAGGAAGGGCUUGUGACUCUCCUGGAACUGACAGAAUACAGCAGAAAUGAGGCAGUGUGACUUCUGAGGCUAGGUCCUGAAAGGCAAUGCAGCUUCUGCCUUGUGAGCUAUUAUAGAACACACCUGUGGGGCUCUGAACCACUUUGUAAGACGUCUGCAGCCACCAUGCUAGGAGGAAGCCCAAGCUACACAGAGGUAUCAUGUGCAGUUGUUGCAGCUAACUGAGGGCCCAACUGACAGCACUACUCUCUGCCAAAUCAGUAAAUUAAGACACCCUGACGGCUCCUGCCCUGGCCAUUGGGUCAUCCCAACCUCUAAGCCUUCCUAUCUGAAGCUGCACUUUGUGGAGCAGAAAGAAACACUCCUUCUUGUGCCUGUUCGGCAUUCAUGACUCUCAUAAUCUGUGAGUAAAAAAAAAUGGUUGUUUUAAAUCACUACGUUUUGAGAUAAUUUGUCGCACAACAAUAGUAAGUAGAAUUUCAA